CACAGGACUAUGAUCAGGAUACCAACUCCUGAAGAUGAUUCCUCCUUCAAAUUUUUACUUUGAGAAUUUUUUUGGGCAGCAGGACCUCAAGACCUUCUUCCUUUCCUCCUAGCCUUCCUAUCCCUACCUUUCUUCUCUUCUUGUCUUCCUUAUAUCUCUUCCUAGGCUCUUAUCCUAAAAUCAAACUUAUCCUUACUACUUUUGGACUGAUCCUAACAAGAGAAGGA
rnacentral:lncRNA from 1 species